AUUGAACGCUGGCGGCGUGCUUAACACAUGCAAGUCGAACGAAGUGGCGAACGGGUGAGUAACGCGUAAUCAACCUGCCCUUCAGAGGGGGAAAAAAGUUGGAAACGACUGCUCAUCCGGCAUACGGAAGGGGGGGAUGGAGUGUUAGCAGCUGGUUGGAGGGGUAACGGCCCAACAAGGCGAUUGACGGUAGCCGGGCUGAGAGGAGGAACGGCCACAUUGGGACUGGGACACGGCCCAGACUCCUACGGGAGGCAGCAGUGGGGAAUCUUCCGCAAUGGACGAAAGGCUGACGGAGCAACGCCGCGUGAGUGAUGACGGCCUUCGGGUUGUAAAGCUCUGUUAAUCGGGACGCGGUACCGGAAUAGAAAGCCACGGCUAACUACGUGCCAGCAGCCGCGGUAAUAC
rnacentral:rRNA from 1 species